UGAAGAGAGACUCUCAGUGAUUUUGCUCUGCAGUAGAUUUUCAUUACAGGUGCAGGUUUGUCACAAUGAGGUUUUUAAUCUCAUUGUCUGUGUGUCUGCUGGUGCUGUUUAAUGGUGAAAUAAUCAAUGGACAAACAACAGUUGAAGUAACCAAUGAAGAAACAACAACAAUAACAACAAGUGUACCAACAACAG